CCUGGAAAGUUUUUCAGGAAAACCAGUUAAAAUUUCAAUGCUACUUUAUUUUUAUCUUAUCUCUUCUAUUUUUGGUAUAUCAUCGCGAAACCUAAACGUGAUCGCGAAACCUAAACAUCCAUCUCCUUUGAAUCUUCCUCUCUCGAUCACAGAAGAAAAUUUUCGCUAUUUGGUUUCUUUAGCUCUCAAUCACAGCUUUCAAUUGGCGAUGCCUUUUGCUUUUAUGUCGACCGUGCAUUUGAGACCUUGCUUUCAGUCCCUAUUUUGUGUGUUUAGAUCGGUUGCUCUGCAUUGUGGGUUCACAACAGCUGCUUCGGUGAUUUUUGUUUGCUUGACUUGUUCACAGCAGUUGCAUAUGUUCAUAACUGCUUUGCCGGUUCGUGGCUGCUUUAGGGGUUUGCGACUUCGGAGGUUCGCAACUGCUUCGGUUUAACGCGUGUGCGCUUUCCUUUCAGAAUCACGAUAGAAUAGCAUACCACAGUAAUGCGGAUGUUGCCAUUGAUUUAUACCACCACUACAAGCGGGAUGUGGCUAUGAUGAAGGAUAUUGGAUUCAAUGCCUAUAGGUCUCCAUUUCUUGGCCAAGAAUACUACCUCGUGGAGUUAACCGAGAAGGCAUUGUAUAUUAAAACAAUCUCAUAAAUGAUCUGAUAGCAAAUGAACAACAACCUUUUAUAACUCUAUUUCACUCUAGUUUCCCUCAAGCUCUUGAAGAUGAAUAUGGUGGUUUUCUGAAUCUCAAAAUUGUGUAAACAAUAGUGAGAUUAAAGGGGGUUCAUCCCUACAACAAAGAAGAAGUAUCAGGGAGUAUCAAUCUCUAUUUCCUACAAUUGAUUUUUCACUGGCAAGUACCAAGAUUUUUUCACGUUAUGCACCCUUGUGGUUUAUGAUUUCAUAGAAGACAACUAUCCUUUUUUUUUUUCGUUGUACAAUAUUAUGGCAUAUCAAAUACCUUUUUAGAAACAUGCCAUCAAAUACGAAGUUGUAUAUUUUUUAAUUAUUGAUAGUUAUCUUUAUGUAUUUUUUCCUUAAGAAAAAACAAUAUAUUCUUGUUUUUUCUUAAUCAUUUUGAUGAAUUUUACCAAACUGGAAAUUGCCAUCCAGUAUGAUUUGUUCAUAUAUGUAACUCCCAC